CAUGACGCCGCGCGCAGGACGUAACCCCGGCGUGACGCACACCCCGGCGAGCCCGUGAGUUUCCCGUUAUGCCUUUUUUUUUUUUUUUUCUCUAAAACCGCCCCCCCCCCCGCCCCCCCCCCUCCCCCGCCGGCGGCCGAGAAGGGAGGGGAGGGGGCGCGCGCCCCUUCGCUCCGCGCGGCGCCGCGUGGGGCGGGGGCGGCGCGGGCCGGGCCGGGGCGGGCGCGGCGCGGGCAGCCGUCCGUCCGCCCGCCCUAGCGGCGGUUGGCGGGGAGGGCGGCUCUGCCUCCAUCCUGCCGCAUCGGGGAACAUGGCGGCCGCCUCCGACCUGGUGCGGCACCGCCACUCGGCCGCAGCCGCCCGCGCCGCGGUUUGUUUUAAUGUGGAAGUGGAUCUCUCAGCUUAAUGCAAAUCAAACAAACAAAGGAAAAAAGGAUGUCAAGCGUGGUCUUCCUUGAUUUUGAUGAAGGACCGUUGCAGGAAGCCAUGGAUAUUUGUUGUGAGUUAUAACAUCUUAAUUCCAAGAGUCUAGGUAAUGACUCAUUUUAACUGAGCUCUACUCAAAAUGUUAAUUAGUAACUGAAACUACGUGUGUGAUGGCAGGAAUCAAAUUCCCCCAAAGAUCAAAGUGAAUAGUACUCUUUAAAGGUAAAAAAUGUGGUUUCUGUAAAAUAUAGAUAGAUGUUUCUGGCUCCUAGAUGGAUGUUUUAGUGCCUUAUGCUUCCUGUGUUCUGAGGACACGGUAUAAGCAUUUACCCCUGUAUGUAAGAGGUAGGUGCCUGGGUAGACUUAAGUUCGCACACCAGUUUCUUACUGAUUUUUUUAUGUGUAGGCAACUCCUUUGUGCUCACUACACAUUGGGUAGAUGAUUUGGUGUAUAAAUGGAAGGCACUUGUGGAAAGACAUUUUUAUGUACACAAGGCCACCCAGAGGGAAUUAAUAUGUAGUAGUUAUCUGUACUAGUAAAUACUAUUAUUGUCAUGCUCUGGAUUCAGCGUGGUGAUUUUCUCUGGUAGGUAAAUCCUAAUUAAAUGUUUCUAAUUGUGGGAGGUUUUCCACCUUUGAGAACAUGCUAGUUUAUUUGCUUAUCAUUUAAAAUGGCCUGUAUAACAUAAGCAGAAUCUGAUUUAUUUAAUUUAAAACAAGUAGAGCUCUUUUGUAAGAAGGGAAUGGGAAGACAUUUAAUUUCUUUAGUGAGUUUGAUCCUUUGCUAUGUCUCCAUUAGUAAUCAGAUGUUCAAAAUCAGCUUAGUUGUGUUUUCUCCUUUAAAACCACAGUAAAUAUUUCUGCAGGCUUCUGUGUAGCAUCAGGUCAGUUGUAUACAAGCACUUUGGAAAAAGUGGUACCUUGAGAUAUGUAAGGAUUAUUUUCGUUCCCUAGGGGCUAAAGGGAAGUACGUUUGUUUUGUUGGAUUUUUUUAAACAUCACUAAAAUGAAUAGCAGAUGUCUGGAUAGCUUUUAUUCCUAACUUGUUUUAUUUCGAGAAAACAACUAAAGAUAAACUCUGUGUUUAUGUUAAUGCACACGUAGAAUGUAUUUGCACAGUUUUUGGCAAUCUCCUUUCCCCCAUCUUACUUGCAUAUAGGUGUUCAGGUUUUUUUGAACUGGAAUACUGGGCAGUGACUAGUUUGCUGUAUGGUUAUUAAUAUAGCAUAGCAAAAAAGUAUAUAUUUUUUAAUUGCUUCAUUGGUUAAUUUUAAACAUGUCUUGAAUAUCCUAAAUAAAAAAAUACAUUUUUAAAAAUUUCA
ensembl:lncRNA